UGCGCAUGCGCAGUGCCGGCUCCUCGCCUGGUCAAUAAUGAAGGUGCCUCUAAAUGGCUCUCAAGCAGCCCGGCCGCCGCUCCUCCAAUUUGGACUUGUCGACUCCCAGCAAAGUUGCGUUGCCUUGCCGCCGCUGUCAGCUCACUUUUUUCCCCCCGGAAAGUUACACGUCGUUAGCUUGUUGUUAAAAGUUUGUUUGGGGUCUACUCAGUUCUUAUCGGCGAUGUUGUAAACAAGUCGGUGACAGCCUGCGAGCAGCAGGGAGAGCAGAGCACGUCAGUAUGAUGAGCUGAUGAGCCAGAAAGUAAGCCGGACCUGGGAUCAGACUACUUGCUGGCACAACACAGUUGAAGCGUGCGAGGUUUGAAGCCCACAAAAUCAUGGAGGCCUCAGAGAACCUCAACGAGCAAAUGGUGAAGAAAUCAAACAGUGAUUCUCAUGUUCCAGACCCUUCGGACAGCAGGUCUAUGGAAAUGCAGGACCUAGCCAGUCCUCAUAAUCGUGUGGGCGGCGGCGAUUCCAGUGGCUCCAAGCUGGACAAGAACAACCUCGGCAGCCCCUCCACAGUCACCGCCAAUGGAACAGGAGGUGAAAACAUGACCGUUCUAAACACGGCUGAUUGGCUGCUGGGCUGCAGCAGCCCGCCCCCAGCGCCAACCUCCAAGGACUAUGUGAAAACAGAGCCGAUGAACAACAGUGAUGCAGUGACCACGACAGGCGACGCAGUACUGGACACGUACGCCGGCUCAGUCAUUACUAGCAGUGGAUACAGUCCUCGCUCAGCGCACCAGUACUCUCCUCCCCUCUACCCGUCUAAGCCGUACCCUCACAUCCUGUCCACGCCGCCCGCCCCGUCCAUGCCAGCGUACGCGGGCCAGCCGCAGUUCAGCAGCAUGCAGCAGUCCACCGUCUACACGUACUCUCAAACGGGACAGGCUUAUGGACUGUCUGGCUAUGACCUGGGUGUGAUGCUGCCAGGCAUCAAGACGGAGAGUGGGUUGGCCCAAAGUCAGUCUCCUCUCCAAACAGGCCUCAGCUACAGCCCCGGCUUCACCACGCCCCAGCCCGGCCAGACGGCCUACUCGCCCUACCAGAUGCCAGGUUCAAGUUUUACCCCUUCCUCAGGCCUCUAUGCCACCAACAACUCAGUGUCCAGUCCCGCCAACUACACUGCAACUCAGCAGGAAUAUCCCUCGUAUACAAACUUUGGCCAAAACCAAUACGCCCAGUAUUAUUCCGCCUCCCCGUACGGGACGUAUAUGACCCCCAGCAGCAUUGACGGCAACGGCACCACCGUCGCCGCCUACCAGUUGCAGGACCCUACGCCUGGAAUGACGGGCCAGGCAGCAGAACUUCACCCAGGGGACUUUGACACGGUGCAGAGGCCUUCCACACCCAUCAAGGACCUGGAUGAGCGAGCGUGCCGGAGCGGUGGAUCUAAGUCGCGGGGCAGGAGCCGUAAGAACAACCCCUCGCCUCCGCCAGACAGCGACCUGGAGAGGGUUUUUGUGUGGGAUCUGGACGAGACCAUCAUCGUCUUCCAUUCUCUGCUCACAGGCUCCUACUCACAGAAAUACGGCAAGGACCCUCCUAUGGCGGUCACGCUGGGCCUGAGGAUGGAGGAGAUGAUCUUCAACUUGGCCGACUCGCACUUAUUCUUCAAUGACUUGGAGGAGUGUGAUCAGGUACAUAUUGAUGACGUAUCAUCUGAUGACAACGGGCAGGACUUAAGUACUUACAGUUUUGCAACUGAUGGCUUCCAUGCAGCUGCGACCAGCGCCAAUCUGUGUCUCGCCACGGGCGUCCGCGGCGGCGUCGAUUGGAUGAGGAAGCUGGCCUUCCGCUACCGACGUGUCAAAGAGUUGUAUAGCACUUACAAAAACAAUGUGGGGGGUCUGCUGGGUCCCGCUAAGAGAGACGCCUGGCUGCAGCUGCGAGCCGAGGUGGAGGCGCUGACCGACUCCUGGCUCACUCACGCCCUCAAGUCGUUGUCCAUCAUCAGCUCCAGGAGUAACUGCGUCAAUGUGCUGGUGACCACGACGCAGCUCAUACCGGCACUGGCUAAAAUUCUCCUCUAUAGUCUCGGCUCCGUGUUCCCCAUCGAGAACAUCUAUAGUGCGACAAAAAUAGGCAAAGAAAGCUGUUUUGAGCGUAUAGUGUCCCGCUUUGGCACUAACAUUACAUAUGUUGUGAUUGGCGAUGGCAAGGAUGAGGAGCAUGCAGCCAGCCAGGAAAAGAGAGUUGCUUUGAGCGCAUAAUGCAAAGGUUUGGCAGGAAAGUAGUGUAUGUUGUAGUGGGGGACGGUGCGGAAGAGGAGCAGGCGGCCAAAAAGCACAACAUGCCCUUCUGGAGGAUAUCCAGCCACUCUGACCUGCUGGCGUUACAUCAAGCACUGGAGUUCGAGUACCUGUAACUGUUCAAAAUAAGGACUUGUCACAAUGGACGUGCGCAUACCUUUUUGUAAAACUAUUUAAGAAGAAACUAUACACUGCAAUUUUAUUUUUUUUCCUCAAACGCCUGGAUUUACAAACUGAAUGGUCUUAAAAGCAGCAAUGGAGGACUGAGAGGUGUUCCGAGAAUCCACACACACACAAAAAGGACUGUCCAGACUUAAAAGCCGGAGGUCUCUGUACAGACAGCACGUAGCCACGCCAGCUGGUUUUUUGCGUUUUCCUUUCUGGUCCGUCCGAUGCAGACGCCUGUGUAAAUUAUUUGCAAUAAAAGUGAAGGGCCGAAGUGUGGGUGAUGUGUUGAAGUUUUUUUUUGGGUGGGGUGUUGUUUUGGUGCGGUGAAUGGGGUUGUUGAGUAUGCGCAACAUGUGUUGUGCCUUAAUGUGUUUUCAUGUCUGUUCUUUUCAAAAGUGUAAAUAUUAAACGAGGAUAAAUAUU